UAGGCCAACAAGGAUAAAAUCAUGUCUAUUUUAGUUUAAUGGAUUCCGUUUCCAUUGUUGCUGCAUUUUAUUUGAACAGUCAGAUGGAGAACUGGGCUUUGGGACUGCUUUUGGAAGGGUUACAGUCUCCUGCAGUGCAGCAGCUCAGGCUCCCUCCGCCAGCCUCUCUGGCCAUAACAACAUUGCAAAUAAAGGUGUUCAGCACUGCCUUACAGGUAACUAUCCCUGCAAAUGGCAACCUCUCCUGAAGUCUCCUGUCACCAUUUCUGAUGCUCAGAAAACUAUCUGGGAUUAUGCACACCAGUGUUUUGCUGGGCUGCAGCCCUCCACUCCUCCCUUGUCUCUCGGUAAGGCGGGUACUGUGGUUGCUACUUCGGGGCACCAAACUCUGACAAGUAACCACCAGUGGCUCCGCGAUCCCAGCAGAUCCUCGUUUCACCUUAGAAUGGAUCAGGCCCAGCCAGUCUGAAAACACUAAAUACACCCUGUACCAUUUUGCAUUAAAAAAUAUUGAGGGGCUGUUUCUCCUACUUCCAGACUACUUUUGCCUCUGAUAAAGAGGCAUGUUGUGGAGGGCCUGAACCCUUCACUAUUACAGAUGAGAACUACUUGAUUUUCCAGGCUCACCAGAAGUUUGCAAAGACAGACACACUUUCUGCAACUGUUUCCACUCUUGGAAGAACAUCCUCUCCUGUCAACAGGAACACUUUCCUGUUGGAUGUUCCAGUUAUGCUCCAUAUAAUCUUUCAAACCAGGAUCUCUAAAUGCUGUGCUCCUCCUUGUGUAAUAUUUUGUCUUCAGUUCCUGGCUCUGUUGAAAGUGAAGGAGUCUGAGGGCCCUUUAGGGCUUCAAGGAUUUGGCUCAUGGAACAGGAUUGGAAAACCUCCAGAAUUAAGGCUAUAUGUAUGAGACUCCCUAAGAGGGGCACUCAUAGGUCUCUGGUUUCUCACCUAGAAGUCCUCCUGGGAUGCUGGGCAGCACAGGGUGCCAGUCCCCCUUACAGUGAUGGUGCAUGCUGAGGUCAUGUCCACAGCAUGAGCUCCUGAGGGACACGGGCUCCUCUUGGAGAUCUCCAGUCACAAGACAAGCCAAGGCCCAUCUCCAGUGUUCUGCCUGUCCAAGAGCCUCCUGGGACUUUCCAACAGGACCUGGCAUUGGCUGCAUGACCAAAGAGCAUCCUUGAACUUUCCUCUCUGGAGUUUUAUUCUUUAAGGUGCUGGCAGUGAGAAAACCCUCUCUGUGCCCUUCCCCCACCUCAAAGCAUCCUUUAUAAAAAUAAAGUGCCCAAAAUAGCCCUAGACAGUGCUUGACGUUUGCCAGACAGCUGCUCUCGAGAGGGCUACAAAGGUUAUGGAUUGGUCUCUGCUUCCCUCCUCCUCCCGCCCCACCACCGCCCGUGUGAACCUUGGAGCAGGGCCAGGUUUCAUGGCAGUCUCUUCGUUUGGAAAAGCCAGAUUUGAGAGGGAGCUGGGAUGCAGGGAGGUGAUGGUGGGUUUCUGCCUCCCCUCCUGGGGUGACCUCUGUGAGGGCAGCUGCAAAGCAUCAGCUCUGCCCAUGCCUGGAACUAGCAGGAUGCUGCUGCAGAAGCCUGGUGGCCAUGGGGCAGGACAGUCCCCACCUGCAAGUCAUUGGGAAUCUUUGCUUGGUCUUCCAGGUGUCUGAAAACACAGGCAGAGGGGCUGUCCUGUGGUGUGCACCUCACACCAGGCUGCAGGGUUACAGCCAGACCUAAAGGGUCCCCAACAAUUUCACAGUCAGCCCAGGAGGCCAGCGGUGCCUGGGGAAGUCAUGACUCAAAGAAAGACUUGGGAGUCAUCUUGGGUCAAAGUCCCAGGUCAGGCAUUAGGAGUGCAGCCUGGGGAAGGAGCAAGCAAGCUGGGAGAGCUGCAAGAACAUGGUGACUGGUGCUGGAGUAGCACCUGGAGAAGGAUGUGGGGACACGGCAAGAGGCCAAAGGAAGGGCCUGGCCAGGCAAGCAUUGCAAUGCAAGGCAAAAUGGACUCAGCACAGAGAAGGUCAAAAGGCAAUUUAGGCAUCUGCAAAAUCAAGGGACCUUCCUUCCGAGGUGGAACUGGUCCUGUGUAGACUGGUGGAUUUAUCAUAUUUCUUGGGAGGAUCCAAGAAGAGUUGCAGCCAGGGGGAGGUCACUUACCUGUGAUCUGAAGGGGACCUGGAAUUGCACAGAAAGUCUCCUUCCCAUGGAGCUUUGCUGAUGCAUCUUGUACUAGGACAAGGUCUCAGGAUGGAGCAGGAGGAAUCCCCUUUCUGUGCAUUGGGCAUUUUAUAGAGGGAGCAGAAAGUCACAGUCUGGGCCUCAAAAAGUGAAAGGUAAAGGUGCAAACUUUUCAAUUAAAUACAUAGACAAAUGCUUGAAAUCCAUUAUCUUCAUCAAAACGAGAAGUCAGCUGCAGCAAAGCAAACAAAAAAGUUGUUUAAUCUAUUAAGCAAAUAAAUACAUACAUGUAUUUUAAGCAAAAGAGUCAACAGCCUUUAAAUAGGAAGAAAACAUGCACACAGGAAGGAAAUUUAUCACUUAGGACAGAACAGGGUAUUUGAAAUGUUAAAUGCAGUAAAAAUUGUUUUAAACUACACAAGAUAGGAAUAGAGGCCUCAAAGAGAGAGUAAUCCCAGCAACUUCUGCAGGCUCAUGAGGCAAGGAGGCAACCAGCCAGCAGGGAAAAAGGACAGGAUCACAGUCACCUCCAUCCACGACCUUAUGAAAUUUGGGAGACAACAAAUAUUGGGAUGUCUUCAGGUGUGGGUUUGCUUUCCCUUGCCAGAACCAUGGGGCUCACUCCUGCACAGAGCAGGAUUGUCCCUGCUCCCUGUGCAGCCCCCAGGACUCUGCUGUGGGUGAGGGAUGAGGAUGAGGGGAUGCUAGAGAAGCUAUCAAGGGGACUGGUGGGUCUGGCAGAGAUGGGUGGCCCAGAGGAGCCUCACAGACAGACUCACUUCCUUGGCUUUUUUUCUAUCACUUUUAUGUUUAUGCAAAUGAAGGUUUCCAAGGAAGUGCCGGUACUGGCUGAGGCCGUGCUGCCAGUUUUCUGCAGGAUCCGUCUCAUCUCCUGGGCCAUGAGACUAUUUUAAGUACUCUCCAGAUCUCCAAGAAGAGUAACUUUUAAGAUGUUUUCCCAUGCCUGUUUCUCCAGCCUGCACACUGAUUUGUCCUUGCAGUUUCACCAGCCAACAACUUUGAUGUUUAGGAGUCUGACAUGCUCACCUCUGAAGCAUUUCCCAUCACAUGUCUGGUUGUUUAUACCUUCAAGGCACGCAGCCACCCUGUUCUGUUUAAGGACUGUCUUGACCACAUCAGUAGAGUGAGAAUAUCUAAAAAUAGAUGAACUGGCAAACUUCACAAUCUGGAAAAUGACAUGCUUUUGAAAUCUCUGGAAAAGAAUGGAUUCCUUAAAGUAUAGUUUACAAAUACUGAUUUCAUUAUUUAUGGUAGCUGUAGAGCACGGUGCAUUCGGAAAGCAUCGUCCCACUGAAGAAGUGUGUUACUCAUUACCACGGCUUUAGUGUUCCAGCAUGUUCCUCAACUGAAAGGCAGCCAAGAGAACAAGCUGGGGGCAUACACAAGGGCAGCCUGGAGGGAAGCUGCUUCUCAUUUCAUGUUGGAAAGGGUGGUAGAAAGGGAAACUCAGGGGACUGCAGGAUCCUCUGCUAGAGUCUGCUGUGGCAUCAGGCGAAGAGGGCAAUGUAAAGAAGUGAAAAAGUAGCAAAUUCACAGCUGGAUAGAGAAGUUAAUUGAUUUUAAUGGAGUCAACACUCAGCUCAAGGCACCCGGUGGGCCAAAAAUGGAGCUGGGUAUCAGAGUGGUGGGACACUUCUCUGGCUAAGGAGCUGGGGACUGAAGGUUAGGUGCCAAGCCUAUGAGUUUUGGGAAGAAACACCCAUGUGUGAGGCACCCAGAGGAUCUCAGAUGGGUGUUUUUCCUCCAUGCUUGCACACUCAGUGCCCUCUCGUCCUGGCUCUCCUCAGAAGACCCAGAAUUUCAUACCUUCUUUGCUGUUCUUUCUUCAAUGCUUUGCUGAAGUGCAGCCUGACAUUUCUUUUCUUCACAUAUGCUGUGUAAGACAGAGAUUACCACUCCUGCAAAUCUUUUGAAAAGCACUCAGCUUGUUCAGGAAUCUUUCCCAGGAUCCCCGGAUUUAAAUUGCUCUGCGACCACUGUUUUUCCCCUGCCACUAUGUUAUCCCUUACCCUCUCUACUUUUUUCAUUCCUAAAGUCACUGGUAGCCAAGGGAACAUGCUCCUUUUUAUGCAGCUGUCCUGGUCUUAUUGUUUCUUUUAAAAGAUUUAUUGCAUCAUUGCUCCUGCUCCCCUCACUAUUUCCACUAGUAUAUUUGUAGACAUGGGUAAGCACUGCAAGACCGCCUGCACCUGUUCCUCCAAGUCCUCCUUCUCCUCUGCAUCUUGCCCUUCUGUGAAACCCUCCUGCAGGAAUUCCUCACCCAGGCUUGUGUUUCACCCUUGAGCUGUACCUUUGGAGCUCUGAGACCAUGCUCGGAAUUCUUGGUGCUGCAGAAGCAAGAGGUUUCUCAGGAAUGUUCUCUGAGGAUUUGGGGUCUGCUUCAACUGCUACAGCCACGUAUAAAUGUAUAGGUGUAUGUAUAUGUAUAUGUAUAUCUAUAUGUACUGGGGACCAGAUGAUCUUUGAGGUCCCUUCCAACCUGGCAUUCUAUGAUUCUAUGAUUUUCUGACAUCCCACCACAAUGACAAGCAAUUGAAGGGUAACUUCUUGGCACUGAGGGUGGUGUCCCCAGCCCUUCUGGUCCCCUGCAGGAAACCUGCUCCAGCUGCUGCUCCUCAGCACCCACACGGCCCCUUGCUUUGGGAACACCACAUUUUUAUUUUUAUGGACGGGGAUGCUGCACCUCCUAAGUCCUUAUCCAGAUGGUUGUGCCGGUGCUGUUUGCAGAGUGGUGGUUGAGAUGGGAUCUUCAGGACUUUUCCUGUCCCUGCUUAUGUAUGUGUGCUCUGGAAGGUGCUUGAAUGUACCCAUCCAUGGUGCUCCCUUGCACAGCUGAGGAGGCUGUUCCUCCCAUAUGGUGAGAAAAUCCCUGACAUGAGAACAUACUUGCCCAAAAACCAUACCAGCUGUGUCCUCAGCUGCUGCCUCCCACAGCCAGGGCAGCUGGGCACAGGUCUGCCCUUGGCUUUCACCUACCUCAUCACACAGCGGGGCACAGACUGUCCUUCAACACUCAGAUAUCCAACCCAGGAUAUUCAGCAGUGCAUUGGGCAGGUGUGAAACCCACCACGAGCACCAGCACCCAACCAAACCGCCAUCAGCAGCAGGUCAGCAGUGGCCAGCAAAGGGAGUCUGCACACAUUUGUGUCCUGUCCCCAGGCUGCUUUUGGCUCAUCUCCCUGCUGCUGGGAGCUGCCUGGGGAGGUAAGCAGCACUCCCAAAGCAAGGAGUUAGUGCUGUGCUGUAAAUAUUUGCUCUCUGAUGUAUUUAUAACUUUUACAUCUAUCUGACAUUUUAUGGCCCGGCAACAUUACAAGGGACAACUGCUUUCCAUUACUCACUGCCAUGAACUCUCAUUCACGGCUUUUUUGCCUCCCUGUGACAUCAUGUUUGCACGGCACGGGUGAGGGCAGGGGGGCAGUGCUGGCCCCCACCAGCAUAACCCAGGAUGCCCCUGGAGCUGAGCGGCAGAAACAGACCUCAUCUCCAGCCAGCCCCUGGGUGAAGGUCAGUUGCUUUCCCAGGAUGGAUUUUUUGGUAGUAACCCCCUCUUAGAGGUGACAAUAAAUCUCAUCCCACUGGCCCACUGCUGGAGCAGUCCCGUGUGCGGUUGCAUGGAAAAGUAACUGCAGGGGGGAAAAAGCACCUUCCUUGGAUUGCUUGCAAAAAGAGACAACAAGGUUUAAAAUUUCCCAGGGAGGGGGAAUGUGCACAGUAGCAGCCCCCCUGCCUGCACCCCCUGCCUGUCCAGCCCCUCUCAUUUGGCCCCCCAGCCACCCUGCUUUGGUGUCAGCCACUGGGUUGGCAUCCCUGUCCCAUGCCUCAGCUGACAUGAGGACAGUGAGGACUUUGCACCAUCUGGGCAUGGGGAAAGCGUGACCGAGGAACAAAUGUCACCCGUUUGCUGAUGGCACCAGGCCCAGAGCACGCAGACGGCUCCUCCAGCAGCCCUGACAUGGCUGCAGAAGGAGGUAAGAGGACACUGACCCACCGUCGACAUCAACCUUUCCUCCUUUCUCCUCCUGACUGAAAUUUUCCUGCCUAUGGGUCCUCUUGUGGCCAGGGCCAGGGGCAGACAUCUCAUUCCAAUUGUACUCUGCAGAGCACUGGAGAAGGAUGUUCCUCCUUUGCUUCCAGGCAGCAUGACCCCAAAGCCAGACCUGUCUGCUUCCCAUGUGCAACCUCAUCCCUGCGCACUCCAAGUCCACAGAAGGUUUUGCUGGGGCAGUUGCAUGCUGUGUGAAGGUGUUCCUGGGAUCAGAGACCCUUUGGGCUUAAGGCAGCUGGGCUCCAGCCACUCUUGGUCCUGCUGAAGUGCUUGCGGCCAGUUGGUACAGUCUCUCCUUUACCUCCUGCCCAAGCAACCCCCUCCUCCCUGUCCUUUGGCGUCCCUGGUCUCUGCUGCCUCUCAACCACCACCCUCACUCCUGGAUUCCUCAGAGUUUCCUUCCACCUGGAUUUAGUCUGUGCCCAUGUUUGAUAUCCAGCAUUUCCCUCCAGUCUGUCAUCACGGUGAGACAUGGAAACUGUCUUGCUGCCAGAGCAGUGUGCAGCCCUGAAGGGUUACAGCCCACUGGUGUCUCCAGGGGGUCUGGGGUUGCCCACAGGGCAGGUUGUGACACACGCAGAGGUGCAUCCUUGACCACAGUCAUCCUCACACCUUUUGGAGCUCUGCUAUGCCCAUGUGUAUUCCGGAUAACGUGUGCACAUAUGUGUCUUUUCCCUUUCCUCUCAGAAGUUGCUUUGCAUUAAAGUCACUUUCCAUGGC